GAUGAAGAACGUAGCGAAAUGCGAUAAGUAAUGUGAAUUGCAGAAUUCAGUGAAUCAUCGAAUCUUUGAACGCACAUUGCGCCCGCCAGUAUUCUGGCGGGCAUGCCUGUUCGAGCGUCAUUUCAACCCUCAAGCCCCCGGGCCUGGCGUUGGGGAUCGGCGGAGCCCCCCGUGGGCACACGCCGUCCCCCAAAUACAGUGGCGGUCCCGCCGCAGCUUCCAUCGCGUAGUAGCUAACACCUCGCGACUGGAGAGCGGCGCGGCCACGCCGUAAAACACCCAACUCUUCUGAAGUUGACCUCGAAUCAGGUAGGAAUACCCGCUGAACUUAAGCAUAUCAAUAAGCGGAGGA
rnacentral:misc_RNA from 1 species